rnacentral:sRNA from 2 species
AAGGGACUGGGUCAAGGUCAGGCCCUUUGGUAUGUCAAGGAAACAGAUGCAAGAAAUACUCUCUCAUACAACAACACAGUGCUACUAUGCCAUCCGCAUC